GCCAGGAUAGUUCAACAGGUUAGAACGUUAAUUUCAUAUAUUAAGAAUGGGAAUUCGAGUUUCUCUCCCGGCU
rnacentral:tRNA from 1 species